rnacentral:rRNA from 1 species
AGGGCGCACGGUGAAUGCCUAGGCACUAACAGCCGAAGAAGGACGUGACGAACUACGAAAAGCUUCGGGGAGCGGUAAGUACGCAGUGAUCCGGAGAUAUCCGAAUGGGGGAACCCAAUGCAGAGAUGCAUUAUUGAUUAGUGAAUAGAUAGCUAAUCAAAGGAAGACGCAGUGAACUGAAACAUCUAAGUAGCUGCAGGAAGAGAAAGAAAGAUCGAUUUCCUUAGUAGCGGCGAGCGAAGAGGAAAGAGCCCAAACCAAGUGAUUUAUCAUUUGGGGUUGUAGGACUGCGACGUGGCAGUGUAAGAGAUAGUUGAAUUAUCUGGGAAGGUAAGCCAGAGAGGGUGAGAGCCCCGUAAGCGAAAUCUCAAGCACGCCUAGCAGAAUCCUGAGUAGGCCGGGACACGAGGAAUCCCGGUUGAAACCGCGAGGACCAUCUCGCAAGGCUAAAUACUAGUUAGUGACCGAUAGUGAACAGUACCGUGGAGGUAUAUGUGUAUAACAAAAAAGAACCCCCGGAAAGGGGAGUGAAAAAAGAACUCUGAAAACCGUGUGUCUACAAGUAGUCAAAGCACAUUAAAGUGCAAUGGCGUGCCUUUUGUAGAAUGAACCGGCGAGUUACGUUAUCUAGCGAGGUUAAGUCAGAAAAGACGGAGCCGGAGCGAAAGCGAGUCUUAAUAGGGCGAAAAGUUAGGUGACGUAGACCCGAAACCAAGUGACCUACCCAUGACCAGGCUGAAGGUGUGGUAAAACGCACUGGAGGGCCGAACCCACGUAAGUUAAAAAUUGCGGGGAUGAGUUGUGGGUAGCGGUGAAAUUCCAAACGAACUUGGAGAUAGCUGGUUCUCUCCGAAAUAGCUUUAGGGCUAGCCUCGUGGAGAGGAUAAUGGAGGUAGAGCUCUGUUUGGACUAGGGGCCCGUCAGGGGUUACUGAAUCCAGAUAAACUACGAAUUCCAGAUAUCCAUACACGGGAGUCAGACUGCGAGUGAUAAGAUCCGUAGUCGAAAGGGAAACAGCCCAGAUCACCAGUUAAGGUCCCCAAAUCUAUGCUAAGUGGAAAAGGAUGUGGAGUUGCGUAGACAACUAGGACGUUGGCUCAGAAGCAGCCAUCAUUCAAAGAGUGCGUAAUAGCUCACUAGUCGAGUGGCGCUGCGCCGAAAAUUUACCGGGGCUAAGCAUAGUACCGAAACUGUGGAUGUGUUUUAAAGAGCACGUGGUAGGAGAGCGUUCUAAGAGCGGAGAAGUUGAAUCGAGAGGAUCAAUGGAGCGCUUAGAAGUGAGAAUGCCGGUAUGAGUAGCGAAAGAUAGGUGAGAAUCCUAUCCGCCGAAAGACUAAGGUUUCCUGGGGCAGGCUCGUCCGCCCAGGGUAAGUCGGGACCUAAGGCAAGGCCGAGAGGCGUAGUCGAUGGAUAACAGGUAGAGAUUCCUGUACUGUGUCAAAUCGUUAAGAGCGAAGGAGGGACGCAGGAGGUGAAGCACGCAUCGCGAUGGAACGAUGUUCAAGCAACAAGUGCGGUUAAGAGUCAAAUGCUUCUAACCAGCAACACGAGUUGUGAAGAGGAGUGAAUUAAAAGUAGCGAAGGUGUGGUAAUCACACUGCCAAGAAAAGCUUCUAGCCAGAGAUGACAUACCCGUACCGCAAACCGACACAGGUAGUCGAGUGGAGAACACUAAGGUGAGCGAGAGAACUCUCGUUAAGGAACUCGGCAAAAUGACCCCGUAACUUCGGAAGAAGGGGUGCUAGCCAAGAGAUUGGUUAGCCGCAGUGAAUAGGCCCAAACAACUGUUUAUCAAAAACACAGGUCUCUGCAAAAUCGUAAGAUGACGUAUAGAGGCUGACACCUGCCCGGUGCUGGAAGGUUAAGAGGAGAGCUUAGCGUAAGCGAAGGUUUGAAUUGAAGCCCCAGUAAACGGCGGCCGUAACUAUAACGGUCCUAAGGUAGCGAAAUUCCUUGUCGGGUAAGUUCCGACCUGCACGAAAGGUGUAAUGAUUUGGGCACUGUCUCAACGAGAGACUCGGUGAAAUUAUAACCCGGAAGGAUGCGGGUUACCCGCGACAGGACGGAAAGACCCCAUGGAGCUUCACUGUAGCUUGAUAUUGAGUAUCUUUUAAACAUGUACAGGAUAGGUAGGAGCCAGAGAAGAUAGGACGCUAGUCUUAUUGGAGGCAAUGUUGGGAUACUACCCUUGUUUGAAGGAUGCUCUAACCUCGACCUGUAAGCCAGGCCAGGGACAGUGUCAGGUGGGCAGUUUGACUGGGGCGGUCGCCUCCUAAAGUGUAACGGAGGCGCUCAAAGGUUCCCUCAGAAUGGUUGGAAAUCAUUCGCAGAGUGUAAAGGUAUAAGGGAGCUUGACUGCGAGAGAGACAACUCGAGCAGGUAGGAAACUAGGACUUAGUGAUCUGGUGGUACCGUAUGGAAGGGCCAUCACUCAACGGAUAAAAGCUACCCUGGGGAUAACAGGCUUAUCUCCCCCAAGAGUUCACAUCGACGGGGAGGUUUGGCACCUCGAUGUCGGCUCGUCGCAUCCUGGGGCUGAAGUCGGUCCCAAGGGUUGGGCUGUUCGCCCAUUAAAGCGGCACGCGAGCUGGGUUCAGAACGUCGUGAGAAAGUUCGGUCCCUAUCCGUCGUGGGCGUAGGAAAUUUGAGAGGAGCUGUCCUUAGUACGAGAGGACCGGGAUGGACGCACCGCUGGUGUACCAGUUGUUCCGCCAGGAGCAUCGCUGGGUAGCUAUGUGCGGAAGGGAUAAGCGCUGAAAGCAUCUAAGUGCGAAGCCCCCCUCAAGAUGAGAUUUCCUUUGC